CCUGGUGGCUUAGAUGGUAAAGAAUCUGCCUGCAAUGCAGGAGACCCGGGUUCAACCCCUGGGUCAGGA
rnacentral:tRNA from 1 species